GCAAAAGUUAAUCCCAAUUAUACUUGCAGGUUUUCGGUAAAGAAUUCAGUGAUACGGUGGAACCACAUACUACAAGAAAAGUAGAAACAUAAAUCAUAUGACUGAACCGAUCUAAAGGUUCGGGGGAAGACAAAUUACCCUUAAGAAUCCGGUGUAUACUUACAUCAGAUAUCUCAACCUAGUUCUCCUCUUUCAUCUUUUCCAAAUCAAGUAUCUGCAGCCAGGAUUUGCCAUGCUUCUUACCUGUAUUCAGUGGAUGCUCUUGGUUUGCUCGCAGAAUUCAGGUACUGUGAAACGAACAAGACUCCCAUGAUAACUAUCAGAAAACCAACAAGGGUGCUAAAAAAGAGAGCCCCAGGCUGCCUUGUUUGUACAAGUCCAUAAACGCCACCAGACGUUACAACAAUAACAUCGGUGAGGCCAUCACCUGAGAAAUCCUCCAAAAUCAAGGCAUGAGUAGGAGAACCAGGCAAUUCAAAUGUAGUCAACACGCUACCCCAAGGAGACAUCACCACAGCCUCUUGAUCGCCA
rnacentral:misc_RNA from 1 species